rnacentral:rRNA from 1 species
UACGGGGGUGGCGAGCGUUACUCGGAUUCAUUGGGUGUAAAGGGCAGGUAGGCGGCUAUGUAAGUUGGAGGUGAAAUCCUUUGGCUCAACCAAAGAACUGCCUUCAAGACUGCGUAGCUUGAGGCUAGAAGAGGAGAGCGGAAUUCCCGGUGUAAGGGUGAAAUCUGUAGAUAUCGGGAGGAACACCAGUGGCGAAGGCGGCUCUCUGGUCUAGCCCUGACGCUGAGCUGCGAAAGCUAGGGGAGCAAACAGG